GACGAACGCUGGCGGCGCGCUUAACACAUGCCAGUCGAACGGAAAGGCCUGCUUUCCCUUGUGGAUUGCGGGUACUCGAGUGGCGAACGGGUGAGUAACACGUGAGUGAUCUGCCCCCAACUUGGGUAUAAGCCUGGGAAACUGGGUCUAAUUCCCGAUAGGACUGCAGGGUGGUGCCUGUGGUGGAAAACGAUUUUCUAGUGGUUGGGGAUGAGCUCGCGGCCUAUCAGCUUGUUGGUGGGGUAAUGGCCUACCAAGGCGGCGACGGGUAGCCGGCCUGAGAGGGUGGACGGCCACAUUGGGACUGAGAUACGGCCCAGACUCCUACGGGAGGCAGCAGUGGGGAAUAUUGCACAAUGGGCGGAAGCCUGAUGCAGCGACGCCGCGUGGGGGAUGACGGCCUUCGGGUUGUAAACUCCUUUCGACCGCGAGGAAGCCACCUGGGUGGAGGGGUGGUGACGGUAGUGGUAGAAGAAGCACCGGCUAACUACGUG
rnacentral:rRNA from 1 species